rnacentral:misc_RNA from 1 species
CUGGAUUCAUAAAUUACCUAAAUCGACGAAAUGGACGAGCAGACCGCGCGGUGGAACUCUCCUCCGAUGAUGCCUCUACCUCCUUCGAACGUCGUCGCUUGCGGUUCCCCUUUGCGCUUCCCUGAGCAGAUCCGACUUCUUCCUCUCCUCCCCCAACCUCCAAGCCUCCGGAUCUGGGGGACGACUUUGCUUGCUCCAGGUUGCCGCGUCGGGGUCCGGUACCGCCUCCGCCUCCGGAUCCAGGCUUGCCGCGCCUCCGGAUCCAGGCUCGCCGCGCCCGCCUCCGCCUCCGGAUCCACUCGCCGCGCCCGCCUCCGCCUCCGGAUCCAGG